rnacentral:lncRNA from 13 species
CAAAGUAAAUGAACAUAUGAGUGAGAGGACUGGGAGAGGCGGGCCCACCCUCAAUCUGGGUGGGCACCAUCGGAUCAGCUGCUGCGCAGCUAGAAUAAAGCAGGCAGGAGAAGACGGAAGAGCAGACUUGCUGAGUCUUUGGCCUUCUUCUUUCUCCCGUGCUGGAAGCUUCCUGCCCUCGAACAUCACACUCCAAGUUCUUCAGCUUUUGGACUCUUGGACUUACACCAGUGAUUUUCCAGAAACUUUCAGGCCUGUGGCCACAGACUGCAGGCUGCACCGUCGGCUUCUUCCCUACUUUGGGGUUUGGAGACUUGGAUGGCUUCCUUGCUCCUCAGCUUGCAGACAGCAUAUAGUGGGACUUCACCUUGUGAUCACAGAUUCAAAGAAGAGCACCGUCUUGCAGAACUUGUAGCUCAGUAUGGCUGGAAAAUAAUAAAAAAGAAAGGAAAAGGAAAGUGGUAUGAGGU